rnacentral:rRNA from 1 species
GGAGAGAGUAGAGUGGCGCACGGGUGAGUAACACGUAGGUAAUUUGCCUUCGGGUGGGGAAUAACAGCCGGAAACGGCUGCUAAUACCGCAUAAUGCAGCGGCUCGACAUCGAGACAGUUGUUAAAGCGGGGGAUUCGCAAGAACCUCGCGCCUGAAGAGAAGCCUGCGGCAGAUUAGCUAGUUGGUAGGGUAAUGGCCUACCAAGGCGACGAUCUGUAACCGGCCUGAGAGGGCGGUCGGUCACACUGACACUGACAUACGGGUCAGACUCCUACGGGAGGCAGCAGUCGGGAAUUUUGGGCAAUGGGCGAAAGCCUGACCCAGCAACGCCGCGUGAAGGAUGAAAUCCCUCGGGAUGUAAACUUCGCAAGACUGGGAAGAAUAAGUAGAAGAUAAUACCUUCUAUGAUGACGGUACCAUUUGUAAGCUCCGGCUAACUCCGUGCCAGCAGCCGCGGUAAUACGGGGGGAGCAAGCGUUGUUCGGAUUUACUGGGCGUAAAGGGCGCGUAGGCGGUCACUACAAGUCAGUUGUGAAAUCUCUGGGCUUAACUCAGAGCGGUCAACUGAUACUGUCGGACUAGAGUGCAGAAGGGGCAACUGGAAUUCUCGGUGUAGCGGUGAAAUGCGUAGAUAUCGAGAGGACACCUGCGGCGAAGGCGGGUUGCUGGGCUGACACUGACGCUGAGGCGCGAAAGCUAGGGGAGCGAACGGGAUUAGAUACCCCCGGUAGUCCUAGCCUUAAACGAUGAAUGCUUGGUGUCUCGGGU